rnacentral:rRNA from 1 species
UACGUAGGUGGCAAGCGUUAUCCGGAUUUAUUGGGUGUAAAGGGCGUGUAGGCGGGAAUGCAAGUCAGACGUGAAAACUCAGGGCUCAACCCUGAGCCUGCAUUUGAAACUGUGUUUCUUGAGUGCUGGAGAGGCAAUCGGAAUUCCGUGUGUAGCGGUGAAAUGCGUAGAUAUACGGAGGAACACCAGUGGCGAAGGCGGAUUGCUGGACAGUAACUGACGCUGAGGCGCGAAAGCGUGGGGAGCAAACAGG